rnacentral:lncRNA from 1 species
CAACCAUUUUAAUCCUUAUCAGGGUCAGAUCGAACCACAGUCAUUCGAUCAUGCCUGAAAUUGGUUCUGGGCCGUUGGAUCGUGCAAAAGAAUCCUCUUAUAAACCGACAACGAACAGCAGCCGUUGGAUAUAAGUCGGAUUGAAUCUCAACCGUUGGAUCAUGUCCUGGAUCUUUCUCUCGUUGCGAGGCGCACCUGUGGACUACGUAUUAUUUUUGUGGAUCGAGCGGUCGGUCCACCAUGCACC